GUCUAUGGCCAUACCACCCUGAACAUGCCUGAUCUCAUCUGAUCUUGGAAGCUAAGCAGGAUUGGACCUCGUUAGGUGCUUGACU
ensembl:rRNA 5S_rRNA 5S ribosomal RNA